UACGUAGGGUGCGAGCGUUAAUCGGAAUUACUGGGCGUAAAGGGUGCGCAGGCGGUUGAUUAAGUCAGAUGUGAAAUCCCCGGGCUUAACCUGAGCAUGGCAUUUGAGACUGGUCGGCUAGAGUGUGUCAGAGGGGGGUAGAAUUCCACGUGUAGCAGUGAAAUGCGUAGAGAUGUGGAGGAAUACCGAUGGCGAAGGCAGCCCCCUGGGAUAACACUGACGCUCAGGCACGAAAGCGUGGGGAGCAAACAGG
rnacentral:rRNA from 1 species